rnacentral:rRNA from 1 species
AUUGAACGCUGGCGGCAGGCUUAACACAUGCAAGUCGAGCGGGGGAGGUUGCUUCGGUAACUGACCUAGCGGCGGACGGGUGAGUAAUGCUUAGGAAUCUGCCUAUUAGUGGGGGACAACAUCUCGAAAGGGAUGCUAAUACCGCAUACGUCCUACGGGAGAAAGCAGGGGACCUUCGGGCCUUGCGCUAAUAGAUGAGCCUAAGUCGGAUUAGCUAGUUGGUGGGGUAAAGGCCUACCAAGGCGACGAUCUGUAGCGGGUCUGAGAGGAUGAUCCGCCACACUGGGACUGAGACACGGCCCAGACUCCUACGGGAGGCAGCAGUGGGGAAUAUUGGACAAUGGGGGGAACCCUGAUCCAGCCAUGCCGCGUGUGUGAAGAAGGCCUUUUGGUUGUAAAGCACUUUAAGCGAGGAGGAGGCUACUGGUAUUAAUACUACCGGAUAGUGGACGUUACUCGCAAAAUAAGCACCGGCUAACUCUGUGCCAGCAGCCGCCGCCGUAA